CCUUGUAUUAAUACGUUUUAUACUAUUAUGAAAGUAUUAAUCCCCAUUUUUCAUAACCUUUUACUAUCUAGUCUAUUAUUCUUAAAUGGGAUCCUUUAACUCCCACCUAGGUCUAUACAAUCAUCAAUAGUCUUGUACUUCUCCUUGCUCUCUCCCUUUUCUUUCCAUCUUCCUUUAGUUGCAUUCUUUCUACUUUUGUCAGAAUAUAUAAUUUUAUACUAUUCUUCUACCCAUGGGUGAUGGAUUUGUAUCUUGUCAAUUUAGCUAAGUUGGAAUUGUUUUCCAGUAUUCUAUUCCCUCCCUAGUGCUGGGGUAUCCUGGACCACAAGAGAUAUUUUGAGAGAGAAGUGGAAGGUGUACAAGAAAGCAGCAGCCACAUUCUGUUUUGCUUGGAAGACUGGUACAGGGCACCAGGCAUUACUGCACAGUUCACAUACUUCAUAGCUUAUCUGCUGGCUCAUGCUGCUGGCCGUGGGAUAGCCAACUGGGCCCCACAGAUGCACCAGCUCCUGCCAGAUCUCCUCCCUCAGCUUCUUCAACUCCUGGGCCAGGUGAGUGGUUAGCUCCAAGACAAAGGACACCAACUUCCUCCGCUGGUCCCCUCAUUACUUAUGUUGGAAAUUUACGUGGGUUCCAGCUCAUGCCCGCAGGCUGUAGUCCAUCCUUGCUCUCCCCUACUUCACAGCCAUCUUUCCUUUUCAGCUGCCUGACCAGCUGACUCCAAGUUGAGGUACUAGACAUAGAAGCAACAUUCACAUGUACACUAGUUAAUCAGCUCCCACAAUUACAUAAGGCCAAGUGCCUAUCAUAAACCCUUUAUUAUUUCUCAUUACUCUUAGUGGUUCUGCUUCUCUAAUCAAACCCUGACUUACAACCAAAACUCCACAUCCUCGUUUUGGUCUUAGCUCUACAAAGACCUGUAUGAAAUCUUCAUCUUUCCAUUUGGCCGGUUCCUUAGUCACCCCUGGUUACAAGCAGCUCUCCCUCAAGUAGAGUCACCAGAAAGUAGAUUCAGAUGUGCACAGUAUUCUCCGAGUUCUUGGACAUUCAAAACUGUUUUUCUAUAACCCUUACUGAUUCUUGACAGACAGCUGGUUGGAUACAAUAGCCUUGAUUUGUACUCUCUCCACUUCAGAUUCCUGAAAAUGUUGCUCUUGCUUUUUUUGGGAUUUGCGAAAAGUCUGUCCAGUCUAAUUUACAUGCUUCUGAAAGUCAUCUUUUUUCCUGGAGGCCCUGAGGAUUUUUUUUCAACAUCUUGAAAGUGUACUAGCUUGACUACGAUACUCCUUGGGCUGUUCUGGCUGUUUUCCCUGGUAUCCGGUAGGCCCUUUCAAAACAAAGAUGUGAGGUUUCUUUUAUUUCUAGAAUAUUUUCUUGGAUUCUAAUUUUAGAUAUUCUAGUCAAUUGUUUUGAUUUUCUUCUUCAGAGUCUCCAAGUAGUCUUAUGUUGGACUUCUGCAUGUCUUCCAAUUCAGUCAUUUUCUAACUCUUUUUACUUCUUUCUUUAGCUUAUUUUCAUUUUCUGUUUGUUUUUCUUCCCCUGCUUUACUUCAACGCUCCUUAUUACAUUUUUAUAUGAACUUAUUGUCCCUUGGGUACUUUGUAAUUUAGCCUUCAUUGCUAAUUCUGACCUUUCUCUUCUAUAUCUUUUCUGAGUUCAGUCAACACUUAUUUCUUCCUUUUUUGUGUCCAUUUCUGUUCUUAGUUUUUGAAUUUCUGAUUCAAACUGAUUUUCACUAUUCCUAACGGCUGUCUGAGGAUAUGUAAUUCCAUAUGGAGAAUUGUUACUGUUUUUGUCAACAUUGUGAUUGAGAAUUUUCAUCAGCAUUUCAACUGGGAAUGCUUUUUACAGUUUCAUACAGAUAUGAUCUGCUUUCUAAUAUUCCUUUUCAUUUUGUGGACAGGGCUACUAGUUUGAGCGACCUCUUCUGAUAGUUCCUUCUUUCUGGGCAGUUUCAUUUUGGAUAGCAUUGUUGGAAGGAGGGGUUGAUGUGUAUUUUUUCUUUUGUUUCUGCAGGAUCCCUAACUUUUCCCUCUUAUUUUGUUCUUUCCCUUCAGUAGACUCUCUCCAAGGGAAACCACACCUCUAUAUCUCCGAUUCCUUCCCAGAAGCAAUGCUUCUCUGAGGUUUCCGUUUCUAGUCCCGCACUCUUUCAAGAGCCGGUGCUAGGAAACCAGUGUUCAGUAUUUUACACUUAGUGUUGGGCUUUCUCUUUCUGUAGGUAAGGAGGUUACUCGGUUUGUGCUCUGCAAGUCCUCUGAACCACUCUAGUUUUUUUCAUGGAGUCUCUUACACCUCCCCGUUCCUCUUCUCAGCACCUGUGGGCUUGAGGCAGCAGUACCUUUAACAGCAUUCAGUUUAUUUCUCAACUUACAGGAAAGAGAAGACAAGUGGGAGACUCAAAAUCAGGUGGCUACCAUUCUUCUCCAAACUAGGAAGUAGCAGAGAUAGAUUCUUGUUUUUACCAUCCGGUUUACCGAGCUAAAAUUUACUUAAAGUAAACUUUGUCUUUUGAUACUGUUAAUUAAAUAAAUAUAACUGAGUCCUAAGACCAGCCUCUUACUUAAUGGAUAAAACUAGAAGAAUUUCCAAUAAGAUAAGGAAUGAGGCAAAGAUGCCCACUGUCUCUACUACUAUUUAACAAUGGAUUGGGAGGGGGGUAUUUACCAACAAAAUUAGACAAGAGAAAUCAGUCACAGACAUAAGAAUUAGAAAAUUUCUUUGCAGAUAAUGAUAGUGUAUUAGGGAAACCUCACAGAAUCAAUUAUAAAACUAAACCAAAUAAUAAGAGAUUCAAGAAGUAACAAUAUAAAAUUAACACAUGGAAAUCAAUAGCCUUUAUACACCUAUACAACAAUCAGUUGGAGGAGAUAAUGGUAGACAAAACCUCACAGCCAUAAACGUAUGAAAAGACAUUCAAUCCCAUUCUAAAAUGCAAUUUAUUACUACACUAAGUUACCAGUGCUCACCUCAUAGAUCAGUAAAAAUUAAGUCAACAUAUUUUACUGGAUCAGCAGUGAAAGAGGUACACUCACAUACCACUAGUAGGAACGUAAACUAGUUCAACCCUCCUGGUGCAAAAUUUGGCAACAUCUAACAAACAACAUAGGCAUUUAACUUUGACCAAGCAAUCCCACUUCUGGGAAUUUAUCCUUAAGAUAUACUACCAGCAAUACAAAAAUAGAUCCACGAGAUUAUUCAUUGUUUGUAACUGCUAAAUAUUGGAAACAACCUAAAGGCCAAUAUAUAAGAUAGGAGAGUGGCUCAACAAAUUAUGGUACACACACACACAAGGAGUACCACGCAGCUAUUAAAAAUAAUCAGGAAGUUCUCUAUGAAUUGAUAUGGGGUGAAUGCAAGGACAAAUUUUUUAGGGGAAAAAAGCAAAGUGCACAAAAAUGCCUAUAGUAUGCCACAUUUUUUGGAAAAAAGAAAACAAGAAGAGGAGGAAAUAAAACAAUUAAAAGAAUGGAAGGUAGGAACAGGUGGAAGAGAUGGGUGGAUGGAACCAUACUUUCUGUAUAGUUCUGACUUUCAGGACCACAUUAAAAUUUUACAUACUCAAAAACAAAUAAAAUCAACAAAAAUGGGAGGGAUAAAAAUACAAACAAAAAUGAACCUAGCUAUACUUCAAAUGAAUAACAUAACUUCAUUGGGGGGAGGUGAGAGGGACUAGUCUAAGUAAUUUUUGAAUUAGUUGAGAGGGACUAGAAGCAAAGACACCCCAGAAACAAUGAGCACAUCUAGUGCCCAGAUGUGGUUUCUCAAAACCAUUCCCAACACUCAAAGGAAUCAGAACUCCCUGGAGAAAUGGCCAAUUCAGGGAUGGUGCUGGGAAAGCACAAGAUGAACCUGGAACUAUUUUGUUGUGACAAGUAAGGAAGUGCUCAAAGAAUGAAAAGGACACGUCAAAAGGCCACAAGUGAUAGCCUGAAAGGGAUCCCAUUAGUCAAAUAGGAACGGUGCAAACAUCAAAAGAAAUAAUGACAGUGAUGAUUUAUAAGCCAAUGAAUUAAAUAAGUAUCCAUGAACCAAGUCCAUGUAUAUUUUAUAUAUGUAUUAUACAUACACACAAUAUAUAUCAUAUUACAUCAAAAAAUAUUUAUUUUCCUUCUGAUCAAUAUACCCCAACACUUCCUUGAAGAAGUGAUAAAUGAGGUGAGAUCUGAAUGAUGAGAAAGUAUUAACUAGGUGAAGAGAGCAAUGAAGGAGAUUCCAGGGAGAGAAAACAAUGCAUGCAAAAGAGGGUGCAUGAAAGAGAGAGAGACUGAAGAAGGUAAGUGACAAAGCCCAGAGAACAAAGCGGGGCAGGGGACAAAAUGAGAUACACAGAUAGGGUCAGC